rfam:Myotis davidii contig114726, whole genome shotgun sequence.
GGCAGUUUUCGGGUGACACACACUGGAAUCGGGCUCCCUCCUCUCUGGUUUGGGGUAUGUCACCUAAGAACUGCA